AAGUCGUAACAAGGUUUCCGUAGGUGAACCUGCGGAAGGAUCAUUACAAAACAAAAUCCAAACCACACCAAAUGUGCUCUAUAAAUGCUGAGAAGCUGUCUUUGUGUGUGAAUGUUACUGUCUGUGUGAGGAGAAAAAUUUAUUUUUUCCUCCUCGCACUCUCACACACACACACACACAAUCCUUCUUUUCAGCAUUGUCUUUGUUUAUCAAUUUUUUCAUUAACUCCUUGUUUAACCAACAACGGAUUACAAUGUUAAAACUUGAAACAAAAAAACAAAACAAAAUGACAACUUUUAACGGUGGAUCUCUUGGCUCGU
rnacentral:misc_RNA from 1 species